rnacentral:snoRNA from 1 species
GGCCUCCGGGCCGCACCUGGAGAGUUUUCAGUCCUCUACCAGUCUCGGCUACGGGAGGGAGAAUCAAGCAGAGGUCUGUCCAUUCCAUUCCUAACUUGGCCAUUGGCUAGCGAGUGGAAGGCAAUCUGCUACAAGU